rnacentral:rRNA from 1 species
UACGUAGGGGGCAAGCGUUAUCCGGAUUUACUGGGUGUAAAGGGAGCGUAGACGGUUAUGCAAGUCUGAAGUGAAAGCCCAAGGCUCAACCAUGGGACUGCUUUGGAAACUGUAAAACUGGAGUGCAGGAGAGGAGAGUGGAAUUCCAUGUGUAGCGGUGAAAUGCGUAGAUAUAUGGAGGAACACCGGUGGCGAAAGCGGCUCUCUGGCCUGUAACUGACACUGAGGCUCGAAAGCGUGGGGAGCAAACAGG